rnacentral:tRNA from 3 species
GGGCCGUUAGCUCAGUCGGUAGAGCAGCGGACUUUUAAUCCGUUUGUCGAAGGUUCGAAUCCUUCACGGCCCACCA